UACGGAAGGCAGCAGUGGGGAAUAUUGCACAAUGGGCGAAAGCCUGAUGCAGCUAUGCCGCGUGUAUGAAGAAGGCCUUAGGGUUGUAAAGUACUUUCAUCGGGGAGGAAAAAACAAAACUAAUAAUUUUAUUUCUUGACGUUACCCGAAAAAGAAGCACCGGCUAACUCCGUGCCAGCAGCCGCGGUAAUACGGAGGGUGCUAGCGUUAAUCAGAAUUACUGGGCGUAAAGAGCACGUAGGUGGUUUUUUUAAGUCAGAUGUGAAAUCCCUGGGCUUAACCUAGGAACUGCAUUUUGAAACUGAAAUACUAGAGUAUCGUAGAGGGAGGUAGAAUUCUAGGUGUAGCGGUGAAAUGCGUAGAUAUCUGGAGGAAUACCUGUGGCGAAAGCGGCCUCCUAAACGAAUACUGACACUGAGGUGCGAAAGCGUGGGGAGCAAACAGGGAUUAGGAUACC
rnacentral:rRNA from 1 species